rnacentral:rRNA from 1 species
GUGGGGAAUAUUGGACAAUGGGCGAAAGCCUGAUCCAGCCAUACCGCGUGGGUGAAGAAGGCCUUCGGGUUGUAAAGCCCUUUUGUUGGGAAAGAAAUCCUGUCGGUUAAUACCUGGCGGGGAUGACGGUACCCAAAGAAUAAGCACCGGCUAACUUCGUGCCAGCAGCCGCGGUAAUACGAAGGGUGCAAGCGUUACUCGGAAUUACUGGGCGUAAAGCGUGCGUAGGUGGUGGUUUAAGUCCGUUGUGAAAGCCCUGGGCUCAACCUGGGAAUUGCAGUGGAUACUGGAUCACUAGAGUGUGGUAGAGGGAUGCGGAAUUUCUGGUGUAGCAGUGAAAUGCGUAGAGAUCAGAAGGAACAUCCGUGGCGAAGGCGGCAUCCUGGGCCAACACUGACACUGAGGCACGAAAGCGUGGGGAGCAAACAGGAUUAGAAACCCUUGUAGUCC